rnacentral:rRNA from 1 species
UACGUAGGGGGCAAGCGUUGUCCGGAUUUAUUGGGCGUAAAGCGCUCGCAGGCGGUUCGUUGCGUCGUGCGUGAAAGACCCCGGCUCAACUGGGGAGGGUCGUGCGAUACGGGCGAACUGGAGGCCAGUAGGGGGAUGCGGAAUUCCGGGUGUAGUGGUGGAAUGCGUAGAGAUCCGGAGGAACACCAGCGGCGAAGGCGACUUCCUGGCCUGUUCUUGACGCUGAGGCGCGAAAGCUAGGGGAGCAAACGGG